UGAACGCUGGCGGCGUGCCUAACACAUGCAAGUCGAACGGAGUGGUUCUCCCGAGAAGUGAUGAAGCUUGCUUCAGAAUGACUCAUUUGAAUCACUUAGUGGCGGACGGGUGAGUAACGCGUGGGUAACCUGCCCUAUACUGGGGGAUAGCAGUUGGAAACGACUGAUAAUACCGCAUAAGCACACAGCAUCGCAUGUUGCAGUGUGAAAAACUCCGGUGGUAUAGGAUGGACCCGCGUCUGAUUAGCUAGUUGGUGAGGUAACGGCCCACCAAGGCGACCGAUCAGUAGCCGGCCUGAGAGGGUGUACGGCCACAUUGGGACUGAGACACGGCCCAAACUCCUACGGGAGGCAGCAGUGGGGAAUAUUGGACAAUGGGGGCAACCCUGAUCCAGCCGACGCCGCGUGAGCGAAGAAGUAUUUCGGUAUGUAAAGCUCUAUCAGCAGGGAAGAUAAUGACGGUACCUGACUAAGAAGCACCGGCUAAAUACGUGCCAGCCGCCGC
rnacentral:rRNA from 1 species